rnacentral:rRNA from 1 species
GCCGGCGAUGGCUCAUUCAAAUUUCCUUCCCUAUCAACUUUCGAUGUUUGGGUAGUGGCCAAACAUGGUUGCAACGGGUAACGGAGGGUUAGGGCUCGACCCCGGAGAAGGAGCCUGAGAAACGGCUACUACAUCCAAGGAAGGCAGCAGGCGCGCAAAUUACCCAAUCCCGACACGGGGAGGUAGUGACAAUAAAUACUGAUACAGGGCUCUUUUGGGUCUUGUAAUUGGAAUGAGUACAAUUUAAAUCCCUUAACGAGGAACAAUUGGAGGGCAAGUCUGGUGCCAGCAGCCGCGGUAAUUCCAGCUCCAAUAGCGUAUAUUAAAGUUGUUGUGGUUAAAAAGCUCGUAGUUGAACCUUGGGCCUGGCUGGCCGGUCCGCCUCACCGCGUGUACUGGUCCGGCCGGGCCUUUCCCUCUGUGGAACCCCAUGCCCUUCACUGGGUGUGGCGGGGAAACAGGACUUUUACUUUGAAAAAAUUAGAGUGCUCCAGGCAGGCCUAUGCUCGAAUACAUUAGCAUGGAAUAAUGAAAUAGGACGUGCGGUUCUAUUUUGUUGGUUUCUAGGACCGCCGUAAUGAUUAAUAGGGACAGUCGGGGGCAUCAGUAUUCAAUUGUCAGAGGUGAAAUUCUUGGAUUUAUUGAAGACUAACUACUGCGAAAGCAUUUGCCAAGGAUGUUUUCAUUAAUCAGGAACGAAAGUUAGGGGAUCGAAGACGAUCAGAUACCGUCGUAGUCUUAACCAUAAACUAUGCCGACUAGGGAUCGGACGAUGUUAUUUCUUGACUCGUUCGGCACCUUACGAGAAAUCAAAGUGCU